rnacentral:lncRNA from 1 species
AAAAGGGGGAAAAGGGUUGAGUAAAGAAUACUCAGUGAGAGGAAUCAACUCUGCCCACUGAAACAUAGAACAUUUUCUUAAGCUAUACAACCAUCAUCAUAACAUAUAAACUUAGACACUAGCAAUCACAUAACAUACCUUACUUACUAAACAUUCAUAACAUUCAUCUUAACCAUACAUACAUCGUUAGGUCCAGUCAUCCUCGUGAUGACCAGAACCUCCUGAGUGGAGGCUGGCCCUCGUGGCUCAGACACUCCCAUUCCGGGCUCGUCAGCCGUUCUUGACCAGCUGUUAACCCGUCGGUCCAUCACUGUCCAUCAUUCAUACAUACUCAUAAUCAUACUUAACAUUCUCAUACAUAACAUCACUUUAAUAAACAUCAUACUAACAAAUAUCAAACUAAACAAUCAUCAAGUCAUAUCAUCACAUAAUCUUAUCAUAUACAAUCAGAUCUAAGCCUACAUAUCAUGCGUCAAGAAGCAUAACAAAAGAAACGACACUAUGCUUCGCAAAUACCACCCUCACCUUGGUCACUUGAUGAUAACAACUCACUUCUCCUUUCUUCUCCUUUAGACCAAUUUAGUACAAGGCUUUCAUUGCUCACUCUUGGGAUCCAUCUUGGCUCUCCUUCAACAAAUACUUAAGCCCACAAUUCAUGAAGCCUCCUGCAAGGUCUCAUCUCAAACCGAGCUCAUUUA